AGUGAACGCUGGCGGUAGGCCUAACACAUGCAAGUCGAACGGCAGCACAGUAAGAGCUUGCUCUUACGGGUGGCGAGUGGCGGACGGGUGAGGAAUACAUCGGAAUCUACUUUUUCGUGGGGGCUAACGUAGGGAAACUUACGCCAAUACCGCAUACGACCUACGGGUGAAAGCAGGGGAUCUUCGGACCUCGCGCGAUUGAAUGAGCCGAUGUCGGAUUAGCUAGUUGGCGGGGUAAAGGCCCACCAAGGCGACGAUCCGUAGCUGGUCUGAGAGGAUGAUCAGCCACACUGGAACUGAGACACGGUCCAGACUCCUACGGGAGGCAGCAGUGGGGAAUAUUGGACAAUGGGCGCAAGCCUGAUCCAGCCAUACCGCGUGGGUGAAGAAGGCCUUCGGGUUGUAAAGCCCUUUUGGUGGGAAAGAAAAGCAGCAGGUUAAUACCCCGCUGUUCUGACGGUACCCAAAGAAUAAGCACCGGCUAACUUCGUG
rnacentral:rRNA from 1 species